CAAGGAUGUUUUCAUUAAUCAAGAACGAAAGUUAGGGGACCGAAGAUGAUCAGAUACCGUCGUAGCCUUAACCAUAAACUAUGCCGACUAGGGAUCGGGUGGUGCUACUUUGCCCACUCGGCACCUUACGAGAAAUCAAAGUUUUUGGGUUCUGGGGGGAGUAUGGUCGCAAGGCUGAAACUUAAAGGAAUUGACGGAAGGGCACCACCAGGAGUGGAGCCUGCGGCUUAAUUUGACUCAACACGGGGAAACUCACCAGGUCCAGACGUAAUAAGGAUUGACAAGUUAGAGACUUCUCUUGAUCUUACGGGUGGUGGUGCAUGGCCGUUUUUAGUCCUUGGAGUGAUUUGUCUGCUUAGUUGCGAUAACGGACGAGACCUUAACCUGCUAAAUAGGGCUGCGAGCAUCUGCUCGGGUGCUCUUCUUAGAGGGACUAUGGGUAUCAAACCCAUGGAAGUUUGAGGCAACAACAGGUCUGUGAUGCCCUUAGACGUUCUGGACCGCACGCGCGCUACACUGACGGAGCCAGCAAGUCCAACCUUGGUCGAGAGGCCCGGGUAAUCUCGUGAAACUCCGUCGUGC
rnacentral:rRNA from 1 species